UUCUUCAAUUCACCUGACUUCUGCAGAUACCUUUCAUCAGAACCAUUGUAUAGAGGAUUUGCAAGAAAUGAAUAUCCUGAGAGUGGAAGUUCAUUGUGUUCUUGCAGAGAAAUGGAAAGUCAUUUGACAUAACAGUGAGAGAGAGAACUGUGUUCUCCUGUCAUUCGAACCUCCUGUUUGAAUUCUUGAGAGGAACACAACAAGGACAAUUAAGGAUAAGAAGUCAUCACGUGUAUGAAAAAAUUGUCAGCUUGCAGAUAUAUCUUUUACUCUUGCUUCAAGAAAUUCUGACAGUGAAUUUGGUGGGCGUUUUACCCAACUGUUGCAACAUUGGACACUCUAAAGGAGAAAGAACAGCCUGCGUCGUGAAAAAUGAUCCUGCAGACAGUGCUGAAAAUGGCCGUGCUAUCUCGCUCCGUGCCAAAGGCGUUUCGUUGACCUUUCU
rnacentral:lncRNA from 1 species